GGAGGUCUGCCGUUUGUGUAGUUUUGUUGUUUCUUAUUUACUUAGUUGAGUUGUUGAUGAACGUCUGAGGCUCGGCAGCCCAAUGGUGUAGUGCCUCUUUAAGAGAACGGUGUGCUGUGGGUCCAUGUGACCGGUGUUCGCCCAAUAAGAAGGUGGCGCAAGAGUUGUAUUAUUGCCACAUAACUUUGACCCGGUGUGCAGCCACUUGAUUUAUUACCUGUUUUCCCUUUGUUAAAGAAUAAACAAACAAAAGUGGAAUACCGAAUAAUAUUCUUUGUACACCGGGUUACCCCUUCCGUGGGGAGAAAACGGAACACUGUGUAUUCGCGCUUCCUAAACAACUGCGUGAUGCAUUACCGCCACCGCGUGGUCGAAAACGGCAUUUCGCUGUUUCCAGCCGUAGCAGCCAUGGAAUGAGCCAGGGUCUUUUGAACAAGGGUGCUUUUUCAUUAAGGCCUCUGCAACUAUGCAGAAAUGUGCAUCCUCCGGGUAGGCCUUAUAUCGGAAAAUUGAGGAAUUGGAAAUUCCUCUGGCCACUGCUUGGUUCGAGAUGACAGAGACUCGGGGGAUGAAAGCAGUAUAGUAUCGUUUGAUGCCAGUGAAACACAGUCAUCCGACUCGGAUGAAACAGAAGCAGAGGACGCAGCAGUACUGGUCAACGUUGUUUGCUGGAUGACCUGCAUUUUCCCCAAAUUCUGAAGUUCAGCAGUAGAGUUCAGAUUGAAAAAAUCAUUGCCAAAAUCUUGGUAAGGAAAAUGUCAUUGCUACUCCCAUGGUCCCUGCACAUCGGAGAGAGGAGUUCAGCCGGUUCAUCACAGGUGAAAUACCACCAUUUAUAAGAUCGUUUAUGGCAUCGUACAUCGAUCCACCUGACAGAACAGAACAGAGACAAAACAUCGAAGAAUGUCAUAACCAAAUCCUAAACGAGGACGUCUACUACGACCACCAACGAAGGCUCUGAUACCAUAUGGACGAGUGGUGGCAGUAGCUCAGGAGGUAGAGCGGGUUGGCUGGUAACCGGAAGGUUCCCCGGCUCCUCCUAGAGGGUCGAGGUGUCCCUGAGUAGGACACCACACUCUGACUACACUGACCUGGCGUGGUUGACCCCACCAUUGGUAUGUGGACGAGUGAAUGAAUGGUUGUAAGUCGCUUUGGAGAAAAGCAUUUGCAAAAUCCCCUAAUUAAUGGACUAAUGGAGCCGGAGAUGAGGCUGCUGGCUUCCUUCUAUGCAACGAUAUAUCAUAAGAAGUAUAACAUCUAACUGUCACUUUUGCAGUUUUUCUGAAAUUUUCUCAGGCUCAACUAUGAACACUUUAACAUUAUUAUUUCUUUCUACAAUUAAGAUGACAGUAUAUUUGUAAUGGGAAAAAUCUGUUUUCACAUUCUGUGUCUCUGAAUUUGUUGUGUUCAAUUUGUUGUGUUCAAUGAACCCCUUCGGGGGAAGUGUUCAAAGGCUGUUUUCCUGACCCCCCCGGGGGAAGAAGGGACAGGCCAAGGAUCCAGGGAUUCCACCAAGAUAUUCAAAACACACAUGUACAUACAUGUACACAUAUGUAAAUAUUUGUCUAAAAUGUAAAUAUCAUGGUUGUCCAACUUUUGAAACAUAUGGGUAGUUUUCUACUUAGUUUGGAUGCUCUUAUUCAGUUUACCCUUUGGUUUGAUGUUUUAUGAUUUCUCUAUUCAUUGAUACCAUUGUUGAUAUUUUGAACAGGCUUCUAGCCUCCAUUAACCUGAAAAUGCCAGUCAACUAGCUAUGCUAUGGUGCUUACCACUAGCUUGGUAAGCAACCCACUCGUUUCAUGUUCCAUUUCCUUUUAAUGCAACUUUUUUUGUUGAAUAAUCCUUUCUUUAACAGUACAACAACAAUGAAUAAAUACACUGAUUUUUACCUUGAAACCACA